rnacentral:tRNA from 5 species
GGGCCCUUAGCUUAGUCUGGUUCAAAGCGAUCGGCUCAUAACCGAUUGAGCGGUGGUUCAAAUCCGCCAGGGCCCA